rnacentral:rRNA from 1 species
AACGAACGCUGGCGGCAUGCCUAACACAUGCAAGUCGAACGAGACCUUCGGGUCUAGUGGCGCACGGGUGCGUAACGCGUGGGAAUCUGCCCUUGGGUUCGGAAUAACAGUUAGAAAUGACUGCUAAUACCGGAUGAUGUCUUCGGACCAAAGAUUUAUCGCCCAGGGAUGAGCCCGCGUCGGAUUAGCUAGUUGGUGAGGUAAAAGCUCACCAAGGCGACGAUCCGUAGCUGGUCUGAGAGGAUGAUCAGCCACACUGGGACUGAGACACGGCCCAGACUCCUACGGGAGGCAGCAGUGGGGAAUAUUGGACAAUGGGCGAAAGCCUGAUCCAGCAAUGCCGCGUGAGUGAUGAAGGCCUUAGGGUUGUAAAGCUCUUUUACCCGGGAUGAUAAUGACAGUACCGGGAGAAUAAGCCCCGGCUAACUCCGUGCCAGCCGCCGCGGUAACAC